rnacentral:rRNA from 1 species
GGACGAACGCUGGCGGCAUGCCUAACACAUGCAAGUCAACGGAAGUAGAAAUACUUUAGUGGCGAACGGGUGAGUAACACGUGAGCAACCUGCCUUAUACACAGGGAUAACAGUUGGAAACGACUGCUAAUACCGGAUAAGACCACACUAUGGCAUCAUAGAGGGGUCAAAAGCGAAUAAGCGGUAUAAGAUGGGCUCGCGUCCAAUUUAGCUAGUUGGUGAGGUAAACGGCCCACCCAAGGCGACGAUUGGUAGCCGACUUGAGAGAGUGAUCGGCCACACUGGAACUGAGACACGGUCCAGACUCCUACGGGAGGCAGCAGUGGGGAAUAUUGGGCAAUGGAGGAAACUUCCUUACCCAGCAAUGCCGCGUGAGUGAUGAAGGUCUUUGGAUUGUAAAGCUCUUUGAUUGGGGACGAAUAAAUGACGGUACCCAAAGAACCAAGCCCCGGCUACUAUGUGCCAGCCGCCGC